UCGCCACUGAAGGCAGGGGUAUCAAACUCAUUUUUGUUGUGGGCCACAUUGAAGUUACUAUUUCCCUUGGGGGGGCCGUUAUGACUGUGAAACCAUAUAAAAGAGUCAAGAAGAAUAU